rnacentral:rRNA from 1 species
GUCCACGCCCUAAACUAUGAAUACUCGGUCUUGGCGAUAUACAGUCAGGGCCCAAGCGAAAGCGUUAAGUAUUCCACCUGGGAAGUACGUUCGCAAGAAUGAAACUCAAAGGAAUUGACGGGGGCCCGCACAAGCGGAGGAGCAUGUGGUUUAAUUCGAUGAUACGCGAGAACCUUACCUGGGCUUGAAUGUGAGUGACCGGUGCCGAAAGGUACUUUUCCCGCAAGGGACACAAAACAAGGUGCUGCAUGGCUGUCGU